rnacentral:rRNA from 1 species
CCUACGGGAGGCAGCAGUGGGGAAUAUUGGUCAAUGGACGCAAGUCUGAACCAGCCAAGUAGCGUGCAGGAUGACGGCCCUCCGGGUUGUAAACUGCUUUUAGUUGGGAAUAAAAGGGGGCUCGUGAGCCCCGUAUUGUAUGUACCAUCAGAAAAAGGACCGGCUACUUCCGUGCCAGCAGCCGCGGUAAUACGGAAGGUCCGGGCGUUAUCCGGAUUUAUUGGGUUUAAAGGGAGCGUAGGCCGGCUUUUAAGUCAGCUGUGAAAGUCCCGGGCUCAACCGUGGAAUUGCAGUUGAAACUGGAGGCCUUGAGUGCACACAGGGAGGCCGGAAUUCAAGGUGUAGCGGUGAAAUGCGUAGAGAUCAUGAAGAACUCCGAUCGCGAAGGCGAGUGCCCGGGGUGCAACUGACGCUGAGGCGCGAAAGUGCGGGGAGCAAACAGGAUUAGAUACCCCAGUAGUC